AGCCAAAAAAAAAAAAAAAAAAACACAACUGGCAAGAACAACGCCCAUGUGCACUACGCACAUGGGCAUUUUGGUCAGCUCAAAUUGAGCUUUUCUCCCACCAGUUUUCUCCUUAUUUUGGGGGCCCAGAGAGAACACCCGGGCUGUAAUACCCCAAUUUUUGUUUUUUUUUAUGAUUAUCACUGUACCUUGUCAAUCUUAUUAUAGAGUUGAGGUAGUAUAUGUGUGUGCACAGUAAGAUGGGAGUAGACAAUUUUUGUGGUGCUACAAAUAGGUGAGAAAUUAAAAUUUUAGUGCAUACAAUUUGGUGCGGCAAUUAAAAUAAUAAAUAAGAAGGAUGAAGAUGUUUUAUGGGCUUCUUGGAGACUAAAGAGAUAAGCUCAAGAGGAUUUUAAAGUCCAGCCCAUUAUUCCACCAAGCCCACAUCAGAUUAAAAUAUAAAGGGGAGGAAAAGAUAAAUUAGGGUUUCAUCACUAAGGAGGCUAAGAGGUGUUUCUUUUCUUGGAGUUUGGAGCACAUACGAUUGAAGAGGCAAAAUUGUUUAGGGGCUUAAGAUUUGGGCUACGAAAUCAAGGUCUUAUUUAAGAGUGUUUUGAGGCCUUUGGAGGUUGUUUCGGCUGGACUUUCAGAGGGAUUCAAGUACUAUUAAAGUUUAGUUGGGGGAACAGAACCUUUGGAUUGCUUCGUAAGGUGCAAGGUAGAGCGUGGGAGUUUUAGGCGAAGUCAAUAAUACUGGAAGUCUUAAAAGAUUAUUAGUUAUUUCUUUUUUUUCCGCUUUAGAUUGCACUGUUUUUUGGAGAUUAUUCUAAAUUUGAGGAGUUUGGAUUUUGUAAGAGGUUUUAUUUAAGAGUAUUGUUUCUUUGGAGUUUUUAAUUUAUUUUGGAUUAAUUACGUUUAUGGAGUUAUAUAAGUUUAGUAGUUUGGUCAUGCAUCUAAAUUCAUGUUCCAUGGAUUUGGGUC